rnacentral:rRNA from 1 species
GACGAACGCUGGCGGCGUGCUUAACACAUGCAAGUCGAACGGAAAGGCCCUGCUUUUGUGGGGUGCUCGAGUGGCGAACGGGUGAGUAACACGUGAGUAACCUGCCCUUGACUUUGGGAUAACUUCAGGAAACUGGGGCUAAUACCGGAUAGGAGCUCCUGCUGCAUGGUGGGGGUUGGAAAGUUUCGGCGGUUGGGGAUGGACUCGCGGCUUAUCAGCUUGUUGGUGGGGUAGUGGCUUACCAAGGCUUUGACGGGUAGCCGGCCUGAGAGGGUGACCGGCCACAUUGGGACUGAGAUACAGCCCAGACUCCUACGGGAGGCAGCAGUGGGGAAUAUUGCACAAGGGGCGGAAGCCUGAUGCAGCAACGCCGCGUGCGGGAUGACGGCCUUCGGGUUGUAAACCGCUUUCGCCUGUGACGAAGCGUGAGUGACGGUAAUGGGUAAAGAAGCACCGGCUAACUACGU